rnacentral:rRNA from 1 species
AUGGCGGCGGCGGCCGUCGGCAUCAGCAGGACCAGCGCGGCGGGGGCGGGAAGCACCAACAGCAGCGAGUUCCGCUUCUUCCUGUCCUGCGACAUCAGCCUCCCCCUCACCUUCCGCGUCCUCCAGGCCCCCAUCCCGCCCCCCGCUCAAGAUGGUCUCGACAAGAAGGUCUCGGAGCUCUUCGUCGAGUGCAAGCUCUACAUCGACGGCAUCCAGUUCGGCCUUCCCGUCAACACAAGGCUCGAAUCGUCAGGACCGCCGUACUGCUGGAAUGAACUCAUCACGCUGUGCACCAAAUACAGGGACCUAACCUCCCUCGCGCAGCUCGCAUUCACGGUUUGGGAUGUGUCGUCUGGUGAGGGCAAAAGUGUUGUUGGUGGGGCCACUAUAUUUCUGUUCAACAGCAAGAAACAGCUUAAAACAGGGAAGCAGAAGCUGCAGCUAUGGCCCCAAAAGGAGGCAGACGGAAGAGUACCUACCACAACCCCUGGCAAGGUUCCUAAGAAUGAGCGAGGGGAAAUUGAGCGGUUGGAGAGGCUCGUUAACAAGUACGAGAGAGGGCAGAUACAGCAUGUGGAUUGGCUGGACCGUCUGGCCUUCAGUGCGAUCGACAAAGUCAAGGAGAAGGAGUGUGAAAGGCUGGAGAAUUCUUUCCCGAGCCUAGUUGUUGAAUUCUGUAGUUUUGAACACAGAGUUGUCUUCCAGGAAUCUGGAGCGAAUUUCUAUGCACCAACCCCUGUAUCAUUAUCAAACGAGCUUGUUACCGUGUGGGAUCCUGAACUUGGACGAACCAACCCAUCUGAGCACAAGCAGUUAAAGCUUGCCAGGAGCUUGACUCGUGGAAUAAUUGAUAAAGAUCUGAAACCAAGCUCAAAUGAGCGAAAGUCGCUUCAAAGAAUCAUCAAAUGUCCUCCUACACGGACUAUACUACCAGAUGAGAAGCAAUUGGUGUGGAAAUUCCGUUUCUCUUUGAUGUCUGAGAAGAAAGCUCUUACAAAAUUUCUUCGCUCAGUGGAUUGGAGCGAUAUCCAAGAAGCUAAACAAGCUGUUGAAUUGAUUGGAAAGUGGGAAACAAUUGAUGUGGCUGAUGCAUUAGAGCUUCUCUCAUCAGAUUUUAAAAGCGAGGAAGUCCGUGCUUAUGCUGUGAGCGUACUUGAAAGGGCUGAUGAUGAAGAAUUGCAAUGCUACUUACUCCAGUUAGUGCAAGCCCUUCGAUUUGAACGAUCAGACAAGUCACGUCUGGCACACUUUCUUGUAAACCGCGCUUUAUCAAACAUUGAAAUUGCUAGUUUCCUUCGCUGGUAUGUGGUUGUUGAGCUCCAUGAUCAUGCAUAUGCAAAACGAUACUACAGUACGUAUGACAUGCUUGAAGAUGAAAUGAUGAAAAUGGUUGCUAGGGAGGAUGGGGAUGAAGAUGGGUUUCGACUGUGGCAGAGUUUAUCACGUCAAACGGAACUCACUGCUCAAUUAUGUUCUAUUAUGAAGGAUGUAAGAAAUACUCGUGGUAAUGCAGAAAAGAAAAUCGAGAAACUGAGACAGUUGUUAUCAGGAGUUCACAGUGAGCUUACCCACUUUGAUGAGCCAAUUCGUUCACCAUUAGCACCUACACUUCUCCUUACUGGUGUUGUGCCUCAAGAGUCAUCUAUAUUCAAGAGUUCCUUAAUUCCAUUGCGCCUUACAUUUAAGACGGCAAAUGGGGGAACGUCCAAGAUGAUUUUCAAAAAGGGUGAUGACCUCCGCCAGGAUCAAUUGGUCAUUCAAAUGGUCUCUUUAAUGGACCGAUUGCUCAAACUAGAAAACAUGGACUUGCACCUUACUCCAUACCAAGUUCUUGCAACUGGACAGGAUGAAGGGAUGGUUGAAUUCAUUCCUUCCAGCCCGCUUGCACAGAUUAUAUCAGAACAUCGCAGUAUUACAAGUUACCUGCAAAAGUUCCAUCCUGAUGAAGAUGGUCCUUUUGGUAUAACUGCCCAAUGCUUGGAAACUUUUAUAAAAAGUUGUGCUGGUUACUCUGUCAUUACAUACAUUAUGGGUGUUGGAGACAGGCAUCUAGAUAAUCUUCUUAUAAGAGAUGACGGGUGCCUUUUCCAUGUGGACUUCGGUUUUAUUCUGGGUCGAGAUCCAAAGCCAUUUCCACCUCCAAUGAAACUAUGUAAAGAAAUGGUCGAGGCCAUGGGUGGCACGGAAAGCCAAUACUAUACAAGAUUCAAGUCCUACUGCUGUGAAGCAUACAACAUUUUAAGGAAUAACAGCAGCCUUAUAUUGAAUCUAUUCACGUUGAUGGAAAGAUCGAGUAUUCCAGAUAUCUCUACCGAGGAAAAUGCGACCCUUAAGGUUCAGGAGAAAUUCCGGCUGGAUCUGGACGAUGAGGAGGCUAUACAUUUCUUCCAGGGUCUUAUCAACGACAGUGUCAGCGCGUUGUUCCCUCAAAUGGUUGAGACCAUCCAUAGAUGGGCUCAAUAUUGGCGAUGA